GCCUCUGCCCCAUACUGCACUGCCCCACCAUCCUCCUCGUGCGCCGCGUAGGAGCGCCACCUCACCCGCGCCGCCCCCACCAUCCUCCUCCUGCUCCCAACCCACUUCCCUCUCUGGUAGCUCAAUCCAAAUCGGGAUCGAGUGCAUCUCCCUCGUCGGCGAGCUCGCUCUGCCUCGUAGGCUCCUGUGCGGCAACAUCUAGAGGAGCACGAGGGCCGAGCGAUUUGGUUGCUCCUCCCCGUGCAGUUCGCCUUCACCACCGCUCACUCGACUGCCGCUCCUCCUCCAAUCUCCCUUCCCCAGCGACUAUCCCAAGAUGUUGUUGUCUCCUCCCUUCCUCUCUUAUCUCCACAGUCGCUUGAGAUGCAGCUCGCCGACGUGUGCUCGAUGCCACCCGUUCCUGGCAGUGUCCACAAAGCCGUUCUGUUUGCACGGGAAAGCGGUUCUGCAACUCGUCCCUGCAGUUCCUGGUCGUGGAUCCAUUUUCUUAACCUUUUUUAAUGUGAUGUAUCGGCGUAUUUUGCAUCAAAGUUUACUGCUCGGGGGUGCACUUCAGUCCGAUGGAGGGGCACGUGCAGCUCUGUUAUUUUAUU